CCCUGACAGCGGCACGAUGCCGCUGACAUUUGCCACGACAGGAGAUCCUCAUG
rnacentral:ncRNA from 1 species